GCCUGGGUGGCUCAGUCGGUUGAGCAUCCGACUUCAGCUCAGGUCAGUCUCUCGCGGUUGUGGGUUCGAGCCCCACGUCGGGCU
rnacentral:tRNA from 1 species